UACAUGGGGUGCAAACGUUGCUCGGAAUUAUUGGGCGUAAAACGCACGUAGGCGGUUUGUUAAGACGGAUGUGAAAUCCCUCGGCUCAACUGAGGAAGUGCAUCCGAAACUGGCAGGCUUGAGUACUAAAGAGGGUCGCGGAAUUCCCGGUGUAGAGGUGAAAUUCGUAGAUAUCGGGAGGAACACCGGUGGCGAAGGCGGCGACCUGGGUAGAUACUGACGCUGAGGUGCGAAAGCGUGGGGAGCAAACAGG
rnacentral:rRNA from 1 species